CCUUGGACGAUUGAUUCCUUUCUUGAUCUACUCAGGCGUCACCAAUCUCACCAAUCUCUCUAGUACUCAUCUCAAUAUUCUCAUUUCGCCUCUCAGCUUCCAUUCACCAUUCUUUCUUUUCCCAUCAAAGUCCUCUUCUACAUAGACUUCACUUCACAUAUCUACAAUUUUUUUCUUGAAACUGUGUUCAUCCACCGUCAAAUGAAUCGAUUCAAGCAAGAGGUAUGAUUUUCUGUUUUCAUCUUUCAUUGUUCAGCAUAUGCUCAAUGUUGUCUUCAAUGAACCAAUCGUUCACAGAUCUAAAUUUUAUGCUUUUUUGUUUUUGCAUGUAGCCUUUCUCAUUUACUCAACUUGUUUUACUCGAGAAGGAAAUAUUUUUCCACCUUCUUCCGCCUUUUGGAUGUUUUACCUAUAAUGUCUUCAAAUGUAUGAUUUUCAAGGUUCUACCUUUAAGCAUGAGUCAACAUUUUUCCAUCUUAUUAAACCUCCUAUCACUCUAUAUCACAAAUGUAUUUUGAUAUGUCUCGAAGCUCCAGUCACUCGAUGUCAAAGGUUUGUCAAGAUCUAUAUUUUUGAGGUUAUGUGGAAAAAAACACAUUUUUAUAUCAUCAAACUCAUGAAUUUCAAGCUUCUACCUAUAUGUAUGUACAAUAUUUUACUGACUCUACAUUUUUCAUCUCAAAAGGAAAUAUUUUACACCUUAUUGAACCUUCAAUGACUUCCCCCCAAAAUGUAAGCGAAUAUCAAUUUUUUUGAGUUAUUUGAAGCAAAAACACAUUUUUAUAUAGUAGCAUGAUUGUCACCUUCUACCUUUCUACAUAUACAAUAUGUCACCCACUCUACCAAUUUUUUUCUAAAAAGGAAAUAUUUUCCGCACCUUAUUGAACCUAUAGCCACUUACCCUCAAAAUGUGUCUCAAUAUCAUUUUCUUUAUAUUUGAAGGAAUAAACUUUUCUUAUAUCGUCACACAUAUGCAUUUUUAAGUUUUUCUCUUUCUACUACUCCAUUAUUUUGCUUUUUUAUUCUAUUUUUAUGGAGGAAAUUUUAUACAAUUGGUUAUAAUAUUUUUUAUCUUGAUAUUCUUUCUAUGCUUACAGCUGCUUAAUAAUUUGAUCUGAUGCACAUACUUCUAUAAGAUAUUUGUGAGGUGUGCCUAGAAAUGUUGACAAAAAAUGAAGAGAAAAUAAAAAAUUUCUUUGAAGAACACCUUCACACCGAUGAAGAGAUCCACUUUGUUGUUGCCAGAAGUGGUAUUUUUGUUUAUUUUCCUAUUUUUUUAUUCUCAAAAAUUGAAACUUAGGGAGAUACUUUAUAAGCAUGUGUAUAAAAGGUCUUAGUUCAUUUAGCUUCUUAUGCCUACUAUGAUUGAUUAUUUUUAUUUUCUGCAUGCAUUUAAAAUCUAUAACCUUAGUCUUUAUAUUGGAGAGAAUAAGAUGUUACUUAUUUGAUUUCAAAUUUUGAAAUGAUUUUUCUGUAUUGGGUUGUCAUAAAUAUUCUAUAGUUCCAUACUGUAUCAAUUCUCAAUUAUUUGGUCAUUGAGAUUUCAUGAUAGAUUAAGAUUAUGUUUGGUUUUGGAAUGAAAGUAGAAGGAAAAAAGUGGAAAGAAAGAGAACUGAAGGAAAGAAAAGUAGUAGAAAAUGAGAUGAUAGUUUUAUUGUUUGGUAUGAUUGAAAAUGGAAGGAAAGUGAGAGAAAAGAAAAACACAUUUAUAUAUAAUGUAUUGAAAAUGACAUAAGUGUUCUCAUUAUAUCUAUAUAAUUAUGUAGAUAUCUAAUUUUUAAAUUACAUAAUUAAAUAAUUUAUUUUUAAUAAUAUUAAUUAAUAUUUUUUAAGUAACAUAAUCUAAG
rnacentral:lncRNA from 1 species